rnacentral:rRNA from 1 species
UACGUAGGGGGCAAGCGUUGUCCGGAUUUAUUGGGCGUAAAGAGCGUGUAGGCGGCCAGACAGGUCCGUUGUGAAAACUCGAGGCUUAACCUCGAGAUGUCAUCGGAAACCAUUUGGCUAGAGUCCGGAAGAGGAGAGUGGAAUUCCUGGUGUAGCGGUGAAAUGCGUAGAUAUCUGGAGGAACACCGGUGGCGAAGGCGGCAUCCUGGACCGACACUGACGCUGAGGAGCGAAAGCCAGGGGAGCAAACGGG